rnacentral:rRNA from 1 species
UACGAAGGGGGCUAGCGUUGUUCGGAAUUACUGGGCGUAAAGCGCGCGCAGGCGGUUCUUCAAGUCAGGGGUGAAAUCCUGGAGCUCAACUCCAGAACUGCCUUUGAUACUGAGAGCCUUGAGUUCGGGAGAGGUGAGUGGAACUGCGAGUGUAGAGGUGAAAUUCGUAGAUAUUAGGAAGAACACCAGUGGCGAAGGCGGCUCACUGGUCCGGUACUGACGCUGAGGUGCGAAAGCGUGGGGAGCAAACAGG